rnacentral:rRNA from 1 species
GGAUUCCCCUAGUAACUGCGAGUGAAGCGGGAAAAGCUCAAAUUUAAAAUCUGGCGGUCUUUGNCCGUCCGAGUUGUAGUCUGGAGAAGUGCUUUCCGCGCUGGACCGUGUAUAAGUCUCUUGGAACAGAGCGUCAUAGAGGGUGAGAAUCCCGUCUUUGACACGGACUACCAGUGCUUUGUGAUGCGCUCUCAAAGAGUCGAGUUGUUUGGGAAUGCAGCUCAAAAUGGGUGGUGAAUUCCAUCUAAAGCUAAAUAUUGGCGAGAGACCGAUAGCGAACAAGUACCGUGAGGGAAAGAUGAAAAGCACUUUGGAAAGAGAGUUAAACAGUACGUGAAAUUGCUGAAAGGGAAACGCUUGAAGUCAGUCGCGUCUGCCGGAACUCAGCCUUCCUCUUGGUUGGUGCACUUUCUGGUAGACGGGCCAGCAUCGAUUUUGACCGUCGGAAAAGGGCUGGAGAAAUGUGGCACCUUUUGGUGUGUUAUAGUCUUCAGUCGCAUACGGCGGUUGGGAUCGAGGACCGCAGCGCGCCGCAAGGCAGGGGUUCGCCCACUUUCGCGCUUAGGAUGCUGGCAUAAUGGCUUUAAACGACCCGUCUUGAAACACGGACCAAGGAGUCUAACAAACCUGCGAGUGUUUGGGUGGAAAACCCGAGCGCGUAAUGAAAGUGAAAG